GUUAACAUUGGAUUCUCUUUUCUUCAUAAAACAGAAAAAACAAAAAAAUAAAUAAUAAAAACAAAAUUCAAAAUACUCCAACGUCUCUCAUUCUCCUCCACCCAGUGUCUGCUCCACUACCAUUCCACUACAACUACCUCCUCUCUCUCGUACGAAAGAAAAAGAAAAUGACAAAAAAAAGGGGUAAUAAAAGUCAUUCA
rnacentral:lncRNA from 1 species